CCUACGGGAGGCAGCAGUGGGGAAUAUUGCACAAUGGGGGAAACCCUGAUGCAGCGACGCCGCGUGAGUGAAGAAGUAUUUCGGUACGUAAAGCUCUAUCAGCAGGGAAGAAAAUGACGGUACCUGACUAAGAAGCCCCGGCUAACUACGUGCCAGCAGCCGCGGUAAUACGUAGGGGGCAAGCGUUAUCCGGAUUUACUGGGUGUAAAGGGAGCGUAGACGGCAGCGCAAGUCUGGAGUGAAAUCCCAUGGCUUAACCAUGGAACUGCUUUGGAGACUGUGCAGCUAGAGUGCAGGAGAGGUAAGCGGAAUUCCUAGUGUAGCGGUGAAAUGCGUAGAUAUUAGGAGGAACACCAGUGGCGAAGGCGGCUUACUGGACUGUAACUGACGUUGAGGCUCGAAAGCGUGGGGAGCAAACAGGAUUAGAUACCCCAGUAGUC
rnacentral:rRNA from 1 species